rnacentral:rRNA from 1 species
AACGAACGCUGGCGGCAGGCUUAACACAUGCAAGUCGAACGCCCCGCAAGGGGAGUGGCAGCCGGGUGAGUAACGCGUGGGAACAUACCCUUUCCUGCGGAAUAGCUCCGGGAAACUGGAAUUAAUACCGCAUACGCCCUACGGGGGAAAGAUUUAUCGGGGAAGGAUUGGCCCGCGUUGGAUUAGCUAGUUGGUGGGGUAAAGGCCUACCAAGGCGACGAUCCAUAGCUGGUCUGAGAGGAUGAUCAGCCACAUUGGGGCUGAGACACGGCCCAAACUCCUACGGGAGGCAGCAGUGGGGAAUAUUGGACAAUGGGCGCAAGCCUGAUCCAGCCAUGCCGCGUGAGUGAUGAAGGCCUUAGGGUUGUAAAGCUCUUUCACCGAUGAAGAUAAUGACGGUAGUCGGAGAAGAAGCCCCGGCUAACUUCGUG